CUUCUUACCAGUUGGAACAUC
rnacentral:piRNA from 1 species